rnacentral:rRNA from 1 species
GAUGAACGCUGACAGAAUGCUUAACACAUGCAAGUCAACUUGAACUUCGGUUUGGGUGGCGGACGGGUGAGUAACGCGUAAAGAACUUGCCUCACAGAUAGGGACAACAUUUGGAAACGAAUGCUAAUACCUGAUAUUAUGAUUUUAGGGCAUCCUAAGAUUAUGAAAGCUAUAUGCGCUGUGAGAGAGCUUUGCGUCCCAUUAGCUAGUUGGAGAGGUAACGGCUCACCAAGGCAAUGAUGGGUAGCCGGCCUGAGAGGGUGAUCGGCCACAAGGGGACUGAGACACGGCCCAGACUCCUACGGGAGGCAGCAGUAGGGAAUCUUCGGCAAUGGGGGCAACCCUGACCGAGCAACGCCGCGUGAGUGAAGAAGGUUUUCGGAUCGUAAAGCUCUGUUGUAAGAGAAGAACGAGUGUGAGAGUGGAAAGUUCACACUGUGACGGUAACUUACCAGAAAGGGACGGCUAACUACGUGCCAGCAGCCGCGGUAAUACGUAGGUCCCGAGCGUUAUCCGGAUUUAUUGGGCGUAAAGCGAGCGCAGGCGGUUAGAUAAGUCUGAAGUUAAAGGCUGUGGCUUAACCAUAGUACGCUUUGGAAACUGUUUAACUUGAGUGCAGAAGGGGAGAGUGGAAUUCCAUGUGUAGCGGUGAAAUGCGUAGAUAUAUGGAGGAACACCGGUGGCGAAAGCGGCUCUCUGGUCUGUAACUGACGCUGAGGCUCGAAAGCGUGGGGAGCAAACAGG